rfam:Thioalkalivibrio nitratireducens DSM 14787, complete genome.
AAACCCGUGAGGGGAUGUCUGAAGGAAGCCCGAGCGCAAAGGUGCGAGCCGACGGACAGAAAUCGCAUAGAAGGCUCAGUCCCCGGGCGAGUCAGCACAAGAUGACGAAGCCCGCCAGGUGCAGGGGAUAGGGUAAAUGCGGCGGUUGUGCACUGAAAGUUCAUGUC